GCAGAACGCGAAGAACCUUACCUGGCCUUGACAUCCAUGGAAUCCCGAAGAGAUUUGAGAGUGCCGCAAGGAACCAUGAGACAGGUGCUGCAUGGCUGUCGUCAGCUCGUGUCGUGAGAUGUUGGGUUAAGUCCCGCAACGAGCGCAACCCUUGUCCUUAGUUGCCAUCAUUAAGUUGGGAACUCUAAGGAGACCGCCGGUGACAAACCGGAGGAAGGUGGGGAUGACGUCAAGUCAUCAUGGCCUUUAUGGCCAGGGCUACACACGUGCUACAAUGGCAGGUACAGAGGGAAGCCAACCGGCGACGGGGAGCUAAUCCCAGAAAGCCUGUCUUAGUCCGGAUUGCAGUCUGCAACUCGACUGCAUGAAGUUGGAAUCGCUAGUAAUCGCAGAUCAGCAUUGCUGCGGUGAAUACGUUCCCGGGUCUUGUACACACCG
rnacentral:rRNA from 1 species